rnacentral:rRNA from 1 species
UACGAGGGGGGCGAGCGUUGUUCGGAAUUAUUGGGCGUAAAGAGCGCGCAGGCGGUAUGACAAGUCAGAUGUGAAAGAGGCCGGCUUAACCGGCAAGGGUCAUUUGAAACUGUCAGACUAGAGUGCAGCAGAGGAUAGUGGAAUUCCCGGAGUAGUGGUGAAAUGCGUAGAUAUCGGGAGGAACACCAGUGGCGAAGGCGACUAUCUGGGCUGCAACUGACGCUGAGGCGCGAAGGCUAGGGUAGCAAACAGG